rnacentral:rRNA from 1 species
GACGAACGCUGGCGGCGUGCUUAACACAUGCAAGUCGAACGGAAAGACCCUGCUUUUGUGGGGUGCUCGAGUGGCGAACGGGUGAGUAACACGUGAGUAACCUGCCCUUGACUUUGGGAUAACUUCAGGAAACUGGGGCUAAUACCGGAUAGGAGCUCCUGCUGCAUGGUGGGGGUUGGAAAGUUUCGGCGGUUGGGGAUGGGCUCGCGGCUUAUCAGCUUGUUGGUGGGGUAGUGGCUUACCAAGGCUUUGACGGGUAGCCGGCCUGAGAGGGUGACCGGCCACAUUGGGACCGAGAUACGGCCCAGACUCCUACGGGAGGCAGCAGUGGGGAAUAUUGCACAAUGGGCGGAAGCCUGAUGCAGCAACGCCGCGUGCGGGAUGACGGCCUUCGGGUUGUAAACCGCUUUCGCCUGUGACGAAGCGUGAGUGACGGUAAUGGGUAAAGAAGCACCGGCUAACUACGUG